ensembl:miRNA MIR136 microRNA 136
UUGGAUGAGCCCUCGGAGGACUCCAUUUGUUUUGAUGAUGGAUUCUUAUGCUCCAUCAUCGUCUCAAAUGAGUCUUCAGAGGGUUCUAUCAU